UUUUGCGUCAACUUUGAAGUGAUUUGAUUGAGGUUUUAUUAUUUUAUCAGUAUGUCUCUCUUUAUUGAAUCAUCCACUUUGAUCGUCGACAAUCCCAUUUUGGGCGAACUGUGUUGGACAGCACAAGCCGGAUCUAGUCGGCCAAUCGAAAUGGCUUGGAUUGAUGGCAAUGAUGCUUUUUUUAUUAUAGCUUUUUCUAUAGCUUUUAGUUUAAAUUUCAAUUUGUGAUUAUUGAUUUUUCCCCUUUGAUUUCUUUCAGGUAAGAAACGGUAAAGUUUUGAGCACGCCCUUGUGGAUAUCAACCAGCAAAGGAGAACUCGGGCGACAAGAAAAGUUUGGCCGUGGUGUUAUGGUCUUACUCGUCAAAGACAUUGCCACGCCCAGUACCGUAAAAGGGAAUAUAGUACGACGGUGAGCAAUCCUUGCCUCAACAGCCCAUGCAUUCCCUUGUGUGUCCUUAUUCCGGGCGGAUAUCCUUGCUCCUGCCUCGACAGCACGAUCCUGGUUCAAUCUGGUGAAGAAAUGUCGUGGGACGCGACUGAGGAACGAACUCGACCGUCUCCUUUUGCGCUGCCCUUGCCAGAAUCGUGGGGUCUGCACCGGUGACGGCCAAGUCCAAAGUUAGAGUGCCCCAACGAUUAUACGAAGGCGUCCAUUGCGAGACCAACUUGUUGCACCGUCCCACUUCAUCCGAAAGUCUGGCGCCAGCUUAGAUCGUCGUCCCUAUUCUCCUCAUCAUCCUCGCCGGAUCGGCCAGUGUCACCGUUUACGUAUUCUUCUUCCGACGAUCCGGCCGGGGCCAAAGGCUCUGGGCUUUACCGGAUUCAGCUAAAAAGUCCCAGCGUCUCCUUCCGGCUCCAACGACGAACUCCGUAUCAUAUAAACAGCUCUAGUGCCUCCAAGCUAUGAAACCGGUGGAUUCUGAAUUCAAUGGUCGUGACGCCUCGAUUGAAUUGCGUGAUUUCUUCAACGUGGAUGGACCUGUGGAUGCUCCCGAGGUUGGCAUCUAACAAGUCCCGACAGAAAUGAUUCGAGAGUUGUCACGUGCAUUUGGGUUCGCUCUGAAUGAACAGUGGUAUAGUCAAUGACAAGAAACCUCGUAUCUCUUUACCCACACCCCCUCACAACCAACCCCCACACCUCAAGAACAAGUGUGAAAACUAUAACAGCCACUGUAGCCUGUUGUUACUUUUGAAACGAUUGAGCGACAUCCUUCUGCAGCAGUCAGUCAGUCAAGUGGGUGUAGUGGUUUCUGUUAUCGUGUGGAUAUUCUACAUCAGAUGAUCUUAAUUCCUGACUAGGCUGUAUCCAAAUUUGAUCACCGGCCCGUAGAUGCAGCGUUGAUCGGAGAGAGUAGAGCCGUCGGUACUUAAUUCAAACUUGAGUCAUGGACAUUUAAGUUUUUUCGCCCAAUUGGUUUGCUGUUCCUCCUUGUCGAAGUGUGGCCCGUUCCUUUUGAUCGAAACAAAAUGCUGGGGUAGCGAAAGAAUCUGGGUUCAAGUUUGGGUUGAACUUUGGCUUAUCCCAUCAGGUUAGAUUAAAAAGCCUUGGUUAAAUGCAUUAUAGGUUUCAUCAGCGAUUUGAUUAUUUCAUUUACCAUUUGUAACACCUGCGGCUUCGUCCGGCAAUUGAUUUUAGUCCGGCCAAAGUUUCAUUUCAUUAUUGGCAGCAAUGUCUUUAUUCCGUUGUAACACCUGCGCAAAUGUGAAAAGAAUUUGGUUUUUGAUUGGGUAUUGCUACUCGCCAUUCAAAUUCACCGAUAUCGCCUACUCAAUAUUAAUAUUAUUCGAUAAGGUUUCGAUGAGAGAUAUAACAAAAGAGUACGCAAAACAAA